GAGCUGGCUUUCCAGUAUGAGACGUUAUAUGACUACCAAAGCCUCAGCUGGAUAAGGAAAAUGGAAGCAGCGUACUAUGAGAACAUAAUGGAGCAGCAGCGUCUAGAGCCAGAGUUCUUCAGGAUGGGAUUCUACGGGCGCAAGUUCCCCUUCUUCCUCAGAAACAAGGAGUUUGUCUGCCGCGGUCAUGACUACGAACGCCA